GCUUCCGUGACAUAUUAGAAUAACGAAAAAACUAUUUAUAUUUAAACAUUUAAAACGCAUAUUGCAGCCUUUUCCAAGUGAUAACCUAUACGCGCGGUAGCGUUUAAGUGGAAGCGGUGCUACUUGACACAUUUGCUAUGACGCAAACGUUACAACCAUUAAUUUCAAUUCACGUAAUAUUCGUAUUCUCCGAAACAUUGAAACACGUCACCAUUUUAUUUUUAUUAUCAUCACUUAUUCACUUUCGUAAUUUAAAAUAAUAAUAAUAAUAAUAAUUAAGAAUAAACGUGUUUAUAAUAUUAUAAUUUUC